ACGGAAGGCAGCAGUGGGGAAUAUUGGGCAAUGGGCGAAAGCCUGACCUAGCAACGCCGCGUGAAGGAAGAAGGUCUUCGGAUUGUAAACUUCUUUUAUGAGGGACGAAGGACGUGGCGGUACCUCAUGAAUAAGCCACGGCUAACUACGUGCCAGCAGCCGCGGUAAUACGUAGGUGGCAAGCGUUAUCCGGAUUUACUGGGUGUAAAGGGCGCGUAGGCGGGGAUGCAAGUCAGAUGUGAAAUCCAUGGGCUCAACUCAUGAACUGCAUUUGAAACUGUGUCUCUUGAGUGCUGGAGAGGUAGAUGGAAUUCCUAGUGUAGCGGUGAAAUGCGUAGAUAUUAGGAGGAACGCCAGUGGCGAAGGCGACUUUCUGGACCGUAACUGACGUUGAGGCACGAAAGUGUGGGGAGCAAACAGGAUUAGAUACCCUGGUA
rnacentral:rRNA from 1 species